rnacentral:rRNA from 1 species
GUACACGCUGUGACUAGCAUAUCAAUAGCGGAGGAAAAGAAACUAACAAGGAUUUCCUCAGUAACGGCGAGUGAAGCGGGAAGAGCUCAAAUUUGAAAUCUUGAAAGGUCACCUUUCACGAAUUGUAGUUUAAAGAAGUGUUUUCUGUUACGAUCGUAAUAUAAGUUCUUUGGAAUAGGACAUCACAGAGGGUGAGAAUCCCGUCUAUGAUUGCGAUUUGUAGCUUUGUGAUACACUUUCAAAGAGUCGGAUUGUUUGGGAAUGCAGUCCAAAAUGGGUAGGUAAAUUUCUAUCUAAGGCUAAAUAUUGGCGAGAGACCGAUAGCGAACAAGUACCGUGAGGGAAAGAUGAAAAGAACUUUGAAAAGAGAGUUAAAUCAGUACGUGAAAUUGUCAAAAGGGAAGCGUUUGAACACCAGUGUUGUUUUCUGAAAAUCAACCUCUGUUAGCUUUAUGCAUGUUUGUUUAGACCUAAUCAGCUAUCUUGCAUGUUCUAUUGUUUGCAGUGGUGCACUUUUCAGUUUACAGGUCAACAUCAGUUUUUUUUACCGUAAAAAAGUUAAAGAAAGGUAGCUCAUGGCUCCGGUCGUGAGUGUUAUAGUCUUUUUCCUAUGCGGUAGGAGAGACUGAGGUCUGCAGUGUAGGCUAUUUGGCUAGAUACUCAGGUGCUAUGUGAUACCAUUUCAUAAACAACUUGUUGAUUAUGUUUUGUCUAUUGCAUACUCGCUUGUACUAUCAUACCUACGCUUAGGAUGUUGAGUAGCGACAUACGCAC